rnacentral:lncRNA from 1 species
CGAAAAAUACUCAACGUGUAUCCUCUAAUGAGGAACCAAUCAGAGUAUCCAAAUUGAAGGAUAUUCUGGAAACCACUGGCCUGAACUUUCUAAAAAAGUCCGUGCCAGUAAAAAACAACAAACAAAAAAGGCAGAACAAGUGUUCUAAAUUGAAGGAAAUUAAAGAGACUGGAUAGCUAAAUGCAGUAUGUGAUCCUUGUUAAAUCCUGGGUUUAUCUUUUACAAACAACAACAGAGAAGGAAAGAUUCUUGGGGGACAAGUGAGGAAAUUCGAAUAUGGACUAAUAAAAUUAUAGUGAGAUAACAAUGGUGGAUUCCGACUUCCUGCGUACGUCUGAAGACCCUGAUGACACAUUUCCUACGGACACUGCAGUCUGAGUCCUCCUCAACAGGCGCGAUUGCGGCCCGCCCUCCCCCACACACAGUUGGCAGCGUCUGGAAACAUUGUUGGUUGUCACAACUGGAGGAAGGGAGGGGUGGCACUGGCAUCUAGUGAGUGGAGGCCAGGGGCGCUGCUAAACAUUGUACGAUAAACGAGACAGCUCCCAUCACCCCACAACAAAGACUCAUCCUGCCCCAAACGUCCACAGUGCCGCGAUCGAGAAACCCAGAUGCAGGAGGCUUCCCUUUUCCUUAGCGGAUAUCGACUGAGAUGUGAGGCUGAAUUCAAUGAAACUGGUUUUUCGCAGGUCAAAUAUUGGUAAUAUUUCAGGCGGGAGGGUUAUCAUGUUCACAACUAACUCUCAAAUUGUUUAGCAGAAAACACUGCACAUACAUGGCCCUCCGCGCGGACUCCCCUCCUCCCCGGGGACCCGAAGGUAGCACCCCUCCCGGGGCGAAGAGCUGACAGGCGAGCCUGCGCGGUGGGAGGAUCCUGCGAGAGGCCACUGCGCAUGCGCCGGCGGCCUGCCGCACCCACGCGGCGCUUCUGCAAAAGUUACAGACCGCCGGGUGGCCGCGCGGUGCGGUCACGCGGAGCUGCCCACCCAGUAGAGAAGAAAACUCCCGUGGGGCAUCGGCUUCUUCGGGAAAGACAACGAUGCUUCCCCCGUUGAAGCCCGGAGUCCUCCUCCUAGGCCAUCCGCCAAGGGCUGCAGGGAGCGUGGCUCAUCCUUUCGGAGCCCCUCCCAGGAAGAGUCAGUUGUGUGUGGCCCGCGGUGCCCGGCCGUCCGUUCCAGGCUGGACUCUCCAAGAUCAUUUACGUGGGAGAGAAUGAUGCAUAUAAGAAGAGACACCUUCCAGGUUGAUAUUACACUACCCUCAAAAGUGAUGGAAGUCCCCAAGCAAGAACCAGGUUACGGGAAAAAUUCCAACUGGAAAGCAGGCUUUUUCCAGGUCAGGUUGAAGAGUCCUUUC